CGGGUGGUAAUGCCGGAUGCUCCAGUUGAUCGCAUGGUCUUCUGGGAAAGCUUUCGCGGUAUGGGAUGGGGUCGCGUCCUAUCAGCUUGACGGCGGGGUAACGGCCCACCGUGGCUUCGACGGGUAGCCGGCCUGAGAGGGCGACCGGCCACAUUGGGACUGAGAUACGGCCCAGACUCCUACGGGAGGCAGCAGUGGGGAAUAUUGCACAAUGGGCGCAAGCCUGAUGCAGCGACGCCGCGUGAGGGAUGGAGGCCUUCGGGUUGUAAACCUCUUUUAUCGGGGAGCAAGCGAGAGUGAGUUUACCCGUUGAAUAAGCACCGGCUAACUACGUGCCAGCAGCCGCGGUAAUACGUAGGGUGCAAGCGUUAUCCGGAAUUAUUGGGCGUAAAGGGCUCGUAGGCGGUUCGUCGCGUCCGGUGUGAAAGUCCAUCGCUUAACGGUGGAUCCGCGCCGGGUACGGGCGGGCUUGAGUGCGGUAGGGGAGACUGGAAUUCCCGGUGUAACGGUGGAAUGUGU
rnacentral:rRNA from 1 species